rnacentral:rRNA from 1 species
AGUGAACGCUGGCGGUAGGCCUAACACAUGCAAGUCGAACGGCAGCACAGUAAGAGCUUGCUCUUACGGGUGGCGAGUGGCGGACGGGUGAGGAAUACAUCUGAAUCUACUUUUUCGUUUGGGAUCACGUAGGGCACCUUACGCUAAUACCGCAUACGACCUACGGGUGAAAGCAGGGGCUCUUCGGACCUUGCGCGAUUGAAUGAGCCGAUGUCGGAUUAGCUAGUUGGCGGGGUAAAGGCCCACCAAGGCGACGAUCCGUAGCUGGUCUGAGAGGAUGAUCAGACACACUGGAACUGAGACACGGUCCAGACUCCUAAGGGAGGCAGCAGUGGGGAAUAUUGGACAAUGGGAGCAAGACGGAGCAAGCAAUACCGCGUGGGUGAAGAAGGCCUGCGGGUUGUAAAGCGCGUUUGUUGGGAAAGAAAAGCAGAAGGUUAAUACCCCGCUGUUCUGACGGUACCAAAAGAAUAAGCACCGGCUAACUUCGUG